rnacentral:rRNA from 1 species
AACGAACGCUGGCGGCAUGCCUAACACAUGCAAGUCGAGCGAGACCUUCGGGUCUAGUGGCGCACGGGUGCGUAACGCGUGGGAAUCUACCCUUGGGUUCGGAAUAACAGUUAGAAAUGACUGCUAAUACCGGAUGAUGACGUAAGUCCAAAGAUUUAUCGCCCAAGGAUGAGCCCGCGUAAGAUGAGCUUGUUGGUGGGGGAAUGGCCUACCAGGGCGACGAUCAUUAGCUGGUCUGAGAGGGUGAUCAGCCACACUGGGACUGAGACACGGCCCAGACUCCUACUUGAGGCAGCAGUGGGGAAUAUUGGACAAUGGGCGAAUGCCUGAUCCAGCAAUGCCGCGUGAGUGAUGGAGACCUUAGGGUUGUAAAGCUCUUUUACCAGUGAUGAUAAUGCCAGUACCUGGAGAAUAAGCUCCGGCUAACUCCGUGCCCGACACCGCCGUAA